GCAUAUCAAUAAGCGGAGGAAAAGAAACUAACAAGGAUUCCCUUAGUAACGGCGAGUGAAGCGGGAAGAGCUCAAAUUUGAAAUCUUCAAGGUUCUACCUUGCCGAAUUGUAGUUUAAAGAAGUGUUUUCUGUUAGAUGAGUAGCAAAAGUUCCUUGGAAUGGGACAUCAUAGAGGGUGAGAAUCCCGUAUUUGGUUAUUCAUUCUAGCUUUGUGAUACACUUUCAAAGAGUCGGAUUGUUUGGGAAUGCAGUCCAAAAUGGGUGGUAAAUUUCAUCUAAAGCUAAAUAUUGGCGAGAGACCGAUAGCGAACAAGUACCGUGAGGGAAAGAUGAAAAGAACUUUGAAAAGAGAGUUAAACAGUACGUGAAAUUGUCAAAAGGGAAGCGUUUGACACCAGUGUUGUUUUUCCGAAAAUCAAUUACGAAUGGCUUGAUUCUGUGUUGUAUUGACUUUAUCAGCUUUCUUCACUUUUUUCGAGUCUUUCUUAAUGCACUUUUCGGUUAACAAGUCAACAUCAAUUUCUUUUGUUGUAAAAGAGUAUUCGGAAGGUGGCUUUCUUUUCGGAGAAAGUGUUUAUAGCCCUAUACUUCUACGAUCGGAGAGAUUGAGGUCUGCAGCGUAGAUCCUUCGGGGUUAGAUACAUUUGUGCUAAGUUGUAGCUUUUCAUAGACAACUUGUUGACUAUGUUUAGUCAUGCGGCUUACUCGCUUAUGCUAUUUUACCUACGCUUAGGAUGUUGACAAAAUGGUUUUAAACGACCCGUCUUGAAACACGGACC
rnacentral:rRNA from 1 species